rnacentral:rRNA from 1 species
AGUAAAAGUCGUAACAAGGUCUCCGUUGGUGAACCAGCGGAGGGAUC